rnacentral:rRNA from 1 species
UACAGGGGGUGCAAACGUUGCUCGGAAUCAUUGGGCGUAAAGCGCACGUAGGCGGUCUGUUAUGUCGGAUGUGAAAGCCCUCGGCUCAACUGAGGAAGUGCAUCCGAAACUGGCAGGCUAGAGUACUAAAGAGGGUCGCGGAAUUCCCGGUGUAGAGGUGAAAUGCGUAGAUAUCUGGAGGAACACCGGUGGCGAAGGCGGCGUCCUGGACCAACACUGACACUGAGGAGCGAAAGCCAGGGGAGCAAACGGG